rnacentral:lncRNA from 1 species
UUUUGUUUUUUAAUUUUAAAACAAUGAGUCUAAUAGACCGAAAAAGGAAUCUUCAAUCUGGAAGUUCCAUAAGACAAAUCUUAAAUAAAGAUUUUAAAUCUAAAGAUAAUAAGAUCUUUAGAAAAUGGUAUAAAAACCAUUUUACUAAAAUUGAGAUGAAAAAUCAUCGAACUCAGUAUUUCCAAGACUUAGAAACCAUAGGAGAAUUACAAGGUUUUGUCCUUUGGUUUUGUAGGUUCUAUAAAAAUCAAUUAGAACUUAAAGGUCUUGAAGAACUUCUAAUAAAAGAAGAAGUCUUAGAUAAUUCUAGGACUAACCCUGAUAAAUCAGUUAGGGUAGAAAAUAUAUCUGAUAAG